AUUAACAUAAUUUAAUUUAAUAUGAUACAAAUAUACAAUUUUUUUAAAAUUAUUUAAUUGUUUAUUUUAAUAUUUUUUAAAAAUAAAUUUUUUUUCUUUCUGUAAAGUGAGGGUUUAAAUUAUCUAAAAGUUAAUUUUUGAAUUGUACCUUUUGUAUCAGGGUUAAUUAAUUUUUUAAAAUUAUUUUUUUUUCCCGAAUUUUUAAGAUUUUAAUUUAUUUGAUUUUUAUUGUUUUAUAAAUUUUGAUUAAUUAAAUUAAGUUUUGAUAUGAAAAUCGUUUAAUUGUUUAUCUGGUUUAAUUUGAAUUAAAUUUAAUUUAGGAUUUUUUUUUUAUUAAAUUAUUUUUUUUUUUUAAUUUAAAAUCUUAUUUAAUUUAGGAUUAGCUAAUUUAAUUUCUAUAAUUUUUAAAAAAUAUUGGUAUAAUUUAUUUUAUAGAAUAAAGAUUUAGUAGGAUUAAUAUCUUUUCUCUUUAAUAAUUCGUUUUAGAUAAAUCUUUAAUUAUUCAACAUUUAGUUUUAUAAAAUUUUUUUAAAUAAAAUAAUUUUUUUUAUAAAUAAUGAUUGAAUUAGUAAAUUUAAAAAUUUAGUUUAUGAAUUCGGCAAAAUUAUCUUUUGACUGUUUAUCAAAAACAUUUUCUUUAGUUUCUUUUUAAGGUAAAACCUGCUCAAUGAAAAUUUAAAUAGCUGCAGUAAUUUAACUGUACAAAGGUAGCAUAAUAAUUAGUCUUUUAAUUGAGGUCUCGAAUGAAUGGUUUAACAAGAGGAAUACUUUAUUAACUUAAUUUAGUUUAAUUUAAUUUUUUAGUUAAAAAGCUAAAAUAAUUAAUUGGGACGAUAAGACCCUAUAGAUCUUAAAUUUUUUUUUUAAUUAUAUAUGUUUGGUUAAUUUAAUUAAUUUAACUUUAAAAUUUUAAUUGGGGUGAUUUAAAAAUUUUAAAAACUUUUUAAUAUUAUUUACAUUUAUGGUUGAAUUCAUUUUGAUCUUUAUUUUUUGAUUAUUAGAUUAAGAUACCUUAGGGAUAACAGCGUGAUAAAUUUGGAUAGUUCAUAUUGAUAAAUUUUGAUUACGACCUCGAUGUUGAAUUAAUUUUAAGUUUUGAAGAAGAAGUUAAAUACUUAGGUCUGUUCGACCUUUAAUUAAUUACAUGAUUUGAGUUCAAACCGGUGUAAGCCAGGUUGGUUUCUAUCUAUUUAAAAUUAUAUUUAUUUAGUACGAAAGGACUCUUAAAUUAGGAAUAAUUCUU
rnacentral:rRNA from 1 species